rnacentral:rRNA from 1 species
GGACACCUCACGUCAACUACCCUAUAUAAUAACGACCUUCACCACGAGUUUGUUCCCCUUCGCGACCUCGCGGACAGAAGAACAAGAGAAAAAAAGAAGAUUCCCCCGAGUUCGCUCUCCGGAAUCCUCCGCCCGCCGCCGCCGCCGCUUUUUAUGGAUUUCGGAAGGAACGCUGCAGCCCGGACUUGUGAAGCGAAGAGCAGCGUCUCCCCCCGCCCCUCCGGUCUGCCCUUCUCACCGGCCCCCUCCACGCCGUGGUUCCGCGAGCUGUGGGUCAACUCCCCCAAAUAACACCCUUCUGCAGAGGUGGAAAUUGGUGGAUUUCUUGAUUGGUUGAAGGAAGUAAAACAAAGGGGACCCACUACCCACCGUCCUUUCGGCGAGCGUUGGGGUCUUAUCCAUUUAAACUAAAAUAAGGUCAUUCACAAGAAGGCUGUCAACUGUAAACAUGUAUAGGCCGAAGAUCCCCAAUUCGGGGUGGGCUGCUUUCGAUCGCAGGUUUGGCACAGCUGAUGGAGGGGAUGAUGUUGAUGUCAACUCAUUUCCUGCUCUCUCGGGUUCUAGAGGCUCCGGUUCUGCCAGCAGCUCAGCUAUAGGAAAUAAUAGUAUGCCAAAGGCAAAGCCUUUUGCAUCAGUGAUUUGCCCCCCUGUUGAAUUUGCAGUUGUUGGUAAUAAAAACGGAAACAGGCAUUUGACUGAUCACACGGUGAGGACAAAUUUUGGUGUAAACUCUGCAUCUGGUAACAAAAUUAAGCUCCUGAAGGAUGCUCAUAGUUGGGCCGACAGUAAUUUAAUUGAGGACAUAUUGGCUGGCGUGGAUAAUGAUGUUGGCCAGGCAUCUGUUUUGCUGAAAUCCAUGGUCGCUCCUGACUUUCUGCCAAGGGAGGGUAGAACAACUGGUCAACCUCCUUUUGAGAUGAAUAAAGCACAUGGUUCAGUGUCAGGAAACGCUAUAGCAGAGAAUAAACAUUCAAAUGAAUCACAACUGUUGCCAUCGCAAAUGAAUUUAAUCUCUAUACCCCAGGAGCCUGAAUUAGAAGAGUUUGAUGAUGAUUACUUAAACCACCGGAAAGAUGCAUUGAAGAUGAUGAGGGCUGCCACAAAACAUUCUCAGGCUGCCAGCAAUGCAUUCUUCAGAGGUGACCAUGCUGCUGCCAAGGAACUCUCCCUCAGAGCUCAAGAAGAGCGGUUGGCUGCUGAAAAGUUAAAUAAUAAGGCAGCUGAAGAAAUAUUUCAUCUCAGGAACAGCAACAAUAACAUUUGGAAGACAGACAUGCAUGGUCUACAUGCAUCAGAGGCUGUGACUGCAUUGGAGAGGCAUCUUCACAUGUUAGAGUUCCAGCCACCAGGGAAUAAUCCAACUUCAACUGAUGAAUUAGAUAAGUCUGAACCCACAAUUGCUGUCCCAAAUGAGGUUGCAGCGGAGAAAGUGGUGGUAUUUCUUCGCCCAAGAUAGUCUGUCUUAGAGGUGAUCACAGGGAUUGGCAGGCACAGCAAAGGACAUGCUUCACUGCCUGCUGCAGUCAGGGGCUUCCUUAUUGAAAAUGGGUACCGAUUUGAGGAGCUGAGGCCUGGUGUUUUCUCUGUUCGCCCUAAAUUUCGCCGCGGGUAAACCUGUGCAAGACUACAACCAUUCCAUCAAGUUCCGUUGUUCGGCGAAUAAAUUUCUGUGAAAUGUUCUGUCAACGAAAUAGAACAUAGAAAUUUGGGCAACUCGUAGUUCGUGUAUCUUGAAUGUGGGAACUAGGCGUCGACCAGUUGGCUAGUGAUGCGCUACCGGCUGCGCGCCCAGCCUUUUACCAUCGUCCGAGCCUUGUGUUCCACAGGGUGUGUGCCUGGUUUUAGUUUUUCUUAAUAAAUAAACUAGUAAGUAUGCACGUGCAACGCACGUCUCGAC